rnacentral:rRNA from 1 species
UACGAAGGGGGCUAGCGUUGUUCGGAAUUACUGGGCGUAAAGCGCACGUAGGCGGAAUGUUAAGUCAGGGGUGAAAUGCCAAGGCUCAACCUUGGAACUGCCUUUGAUACUGGAGACCUUGAGUCCGGGAGAGGUGAGUGGAAUUGCGAGUGUAGAGGUGAAAUUCGUAGAUAUUCGCAAGAACACCAGUGGCGAAGGCGGCUCACUGGCCCGGAACUGACGCUGAGACGCGAAAGCGUGGGGAGCAAACAGG